UUAACUCAAACAAGUCAAUGGCCUUUCUCUA
rnacentral:piRNA from 1 species